AUGUAAAAGGGGCAAGCAUUGCCCCUUUUACAUCGCAUAUCGCAAUCGCA
rnacentral:ncRNA from 1 species